GUGCUUGCUUGGCAGCACAUACACUAAAACUGGAACAAUACAGAGAUGAGCACAGCCCUUGCACAAGGAUGACAUGCAAAUUCCUUAAGCAUUCCAUAUUUUU
ensembl:snRNA U6 U6 spliceosomal RNA